UAGGGAAUCUUCGGCAAUGGACGAAAGUCUGACCGAGCAACGCCGCGUGAGUGAAGAAGGUUUUCGGAUCGUAAAACUCUGUUGUUAGAGAAGAACAAGGACGUUAGUAACUGAACGUCCCCUGACGGUAUCUAACCAGAAAGCCACGGCUAACUACGUGCCAGCAGCCGCGGUAAUACGUAGGUGGCAAGCGUUGUCCGGAUUUAUUGGGCGUAAAGCGAGCGCAGGCGGUUUCUUAAGUCUGAUGUGAAAGCCCCCGGCUCAACCGGGGAGGGUCAUUGGAAACUGGGAGACUUGAGUGCAGAAGAGGAAAGUGGAAUUCCAUGUGUAGCGGUGAAAUGCGUAGAUAUAUGGAGGAACACCAGUGGCGAAGGCGGCUCUCUGGUCUGUAACUGACGCUGAGGCUCGAAAGCGUGGGGAGCAAACAGG
rnacentral:rRNA from 2 species